UACGUAUGGGGCAAGCGUUAUCCGGAUUUACUGGGUGUAAAGGGAGCGUAGACGGCAGAGCAAGUCUGAAGUGAAAGCCCGCGGCCCAACUGCGGGACUGCUUUGGAAACUGCCCGGCUAGAGUGCUGGAGAGGUAAGCGGAAUUCCUAGUGUAGCGGUGAAAUGCGUAGAUAUUAGGAGGAACACCAGUGGCGAAGGCGGCUUACUGGACAGUAACUGACGUUGAGGCUCGAAAGCGUGGGGAGCAAACAGG
rnacentral:rRNA from 1 species